AUUCUGUUAUCGUUAAUUUCUUGUAUAAGCCCAUGAAUAUGGUAUGGGCGUUUCUACAGGCAACCGUAAAUUGUCACAGUCUACAAGGAAAACGAAGCAUUGA
rnacentral:ncRNA from 2 species